rnacentral:lncRNA from 1 species
CACGUGUGUAUGAGAAAAUGACAUAAAGUUUCAGACCCCGUUGUGCUUUGCUCCACACCCAGACCACUCUUGGUCGGAUGGUGCGGAUCCGGCCGCAGCCCGGGGCGCGGAUGCCUGCCCGCCGCCCGCCCUCUCUGCAGGAGCGGCUCCUCCUCCGGGCCGCGCGGCUCCCGGCGAGACCCCAUCCAGGCGCCUCGCCCGGCCCGGCUGGGGAGCGCAGAAUUUCACACCCUUUGGAGAGUUUCUUUCUUGGAUAAUUCAGGUA